UUCGCAAUGCCCGAAAGGGUGACGAAGCGACGCCGCGUGAGUGAGGAAGGCCUUCGGGUUGUAAAGCUCUGUCAGGAGUUAAGAAAUAUAAGUGUGCUAAUACCACGUUUAUUUGACAAAGGCUCCAAAGGAAGCCACGGCUAACUCUGUGCCAGCAGCCGCGGUAAUACAGAGGUGGCAAGCGUUGUUCGGAAUUAUUGGGCGUAAAGAGCACGUAGGUGGGUUUGUAAGUCAGAUGUGAAAGCCUUCUGUUCAAUGGAAGAAUUGCAUCUGAAACUGCGAGUCUUGAGUGUAGGAGGGGAGAAUGGAACUUCUGGUGGAGCGGUGAAAUGCGUAGAUAUCAGAAGGAACGCCGGCGGCGAAAGCGAUUCUCUGGCCUAUUACUGACACUCAGUGUGCGAAAGCUAGGGGAGCAAACGGGAUUAGAUACCCCGGUAGUCCUAGCUGUAAACGAUGGGCACUAAGUAGAGGGGCUUU
rnacentral:rRNA from 1 species